rnacentral:miRNA from 1 species
UUCCUUCUGGUCAACGAGAAGUUAUACCUCAUCGAUCGGAAGGGAUUCCUUCCGGUCGAUGAGGUAUAACAUCCUCAUUGACGGAAGGAAUCCCUUCCGAUCAAUGAGGUAUAACAAUCUCAUUGACAGGAAGGGA